GGCGGAUGUUCGAGGGACCAUGAGCCUUAACAAUAACAAAGAUUAGCCAGCAAGCCUGUGAUAAUCCAACUCAGGGGCAAAUCGGUCACCAAUAAAUCCCAACGAAAGUUAUAUAUACCACGACGGCUUUGUCAGGUCCUGCCCAUGCUUCUUCAGAGUAAACCUGACAAACCGUUAGUCAACUAUAUUACAUCACUCACUGUAAGAGGGAAAACUUCGAACCUAUGCUAAACGCACAGAAAGAGAGAUAAAACCAUCACAAAAACCAUGGCCACCUUCUUAUACAUUACAUUGAUAACGUUUUUAGCCACCGCUUCCGCCGUUAAUAGCUGCCCUCCUUCUGACCGUGCCUCCUUGCUGGCCUUCAAAGCAGAUCUACACGAGCCUUACUUGGGCAUCUUCAAUACAUGGACAGGCACCGACUGCUCCAAGUGGUAUGGCAUCAGCUGUGACCCAACCACCGGCCGAGUCGCUGACAUUAACCUG
rnacentral:misc_RNA from 1 species